UGGUUCUGGCAUCGAUGAAGAACGCAGCGAAAUGCGAUAAGUAAUGUGAAUUGCAGAACUCAGUGAAUCAUCGAAUCUUUGAACGCACAUUGCGCCCCUUGGCAUUCCGAGGGGCAUACCUGUUCGAGCGUCAUUGCACCCCUCAAGCCGUGUCCGGCUUGGUCAUGAGCCCCGUGUCCCUCGGGACAGGCUCGAACGGCAGUGGCGGUUCGGCGCGCCGGCAAGUGCAGUAGGCAUAUCGUUCGCUUGAACGGCGCGCUCGAGGCCGGCCAGACAACCCCCCUCUUGCAACCAAACCGUUUGACCUCGGAUCAGGUAGGGAUACCCGCUGA
rnacentral:misc_RNA from 1 species